rnacentral:rRNA from 1 species
GAUGAACGCUAGCGGCAGGCUUAAUACAUGCAAGUUGAGGGGCAGCAUGAUAUACGCGAGUAUAUUGAUGGCGACCGGCGGACGGGUGAGUAAUAGGUAGGGGACCUACCUCAUACAGGGGGAUAGCAUAGAGAAAUCUGUGGUAAUACCCCAUGAGGUUAUAUGAAUAGAGGCAUAUAAUCAAAGCAUAAGCGAUUAUGUGGUAUGAGAGGGGCCUACUGACCAUUAGCUAGUUGGUGAGGUAAGGGCUCACCAAGGCGAAGAUGGUUAGGGGUUUUGAGAGAGAGACCCCCCACAUUGGAACUGAGAGACGGUCCAGACUCCUACGGGAGGCAGCAGUAGGGAAUAUUGGGCAAUGGGCGAAAGCCUGACCCAGCCAUGCCGCGUGAAGGAAGACGGCCUUAUGGGUUGUAAACUUCUUUACUACGCGAAUAGAGGUUAGUACGAGAUACUAAUAGGAAGGUAGUGUAGUAAAAGCACCGGCUAACUCCGUGCCAG